rnacentral:lncRNA from 1 species
UUUAUUUUAUUUAUUUUUUGAGACAGAGUCUCGCUCUGUUACCCAGGCUGGAGUGCAGUGGCAUUCUUCAUGGAUCUGAGGAGGGAGAAAUUCUACUUUGGAACACUGAUGUCAAGGCCAGUUGGGUGAGAGAUGGGGUUGGGGCAGUCAUCAAGUGCCAGACCACACGAGGAUGAAAUGCCUUGUUAAGGCAUCCGGCCUUUAGCUUGUUGGCAGAAGGAAACCAUUGCUGAGUCUUAAAUAGGAGAAUGACAUGGUCAGGUAUGCCUUUCAGAUAACUCUCUAACAUGGCCUUGUAGAAAAUUGAUUUGAGAAGACAAGAAGAUGACAGGAGGGAAUGAGCCAUAGAAAGGCAGAUUUCCUUGGAAGAAAUAAAUCUUCUUCCAAAGAAGACUUCCAUAGGGUACUGUUACAGUAACCCAGACAGGAGAUGUUAAGGUCUGAACCUGGGUAUUAGUAGUUAGGGAGGAAAUAAAAUUGAGAAAUAUUACACUAUGUAAUUAGAGGGCACACCAAAUGGUUGAGUGGGAGGUGUCAAAGAGAGGUGGAUCAGAGUUGUCUUAGUUCAGCUACUAUAACAAAUUUCCAAAGACUGAAUGGCUUAA